UGGGGAAUAUUGCACAAUGGGCGCAAGCCUGAUGCAGCCAUGCCGCGUGUGUGAAGAAGGCCUUCGGGUUGUAAAGCACUUUCAGCGAGGAGGAAGGUGGUGAGCUUAAUACGCUCAUCAAUUGACGUUACUCGCAGAAGAAGCACCGGCUAACUCCGUGCCAGCAGCCGCGGUAAUACGGAGGGUGCAAGCGUUAAUCGGAAUUACUGGGCGUAAAGCGCACGCAGGCGGUUUGUUAAGUCAGAUGUGAAAUCCCCGGGCUCAACCUGGGAACUGCAUUUGAAACUGGCAAGCUAGAGUCUCGUAGAGGGGGGUAGAAUUCCAGGUGCAGCGGUGAAAUGCGUAGAGAUCUGGAGGAAUACCGGUGGCGAAGGCGGCCCCCUGGACGAAGACUGACGCUCAGGUGCGAAAGCGUGGGGCAGCAAACAGAUUAGNUACCCUGGUAGUCCACGCUGUAAACGAUGUCGAUUUGGAGGUUGCGCCCUUGAGGCGUGGCUUCCGGAGCUAACGCGUUAAAUCGACCGCCUGGGGAGUACGGCCNCAAGGUUAAAACUUAAAGGAAUUGAC
rnacentral:rRNA from 1 species